AUGAACGCUAGCGACAGGCCUAACACAUGCAAGUCGAGGGGCAUCGGGGCGUAGCAAUACGCUGCCGGCGACCGGCGGAUGGGUGAGUAACGCGUAUGCAACCUGCCUUCAGCAGGGGGAUAGCCCGUUGAAAGACGGAUUAAUACCCCAUAACACAGGGGCUCCGCAUGGAGAUUAUUGUUAAAGGGAUACUUCCUUCGGGGGGUAUUCCGGCUGAAGAUGGGCAUGCGUUCCAUUAGGUAGUUGGUUGAGGUAACGGCUCACCAAGCCUACGAUGGAUAGGGGAACUGAGAGGUUGGUCCCCCACACUGGUACUGAGACACGGACCAGACUCCUACGGGAGGCAGCAGUGAGGAAUCUUGGUCAAUGGACGGAAGUCUGAACCAGCCAUGUCGCGUGAAGGAGGACGGCCCUAAGGGUUGUAAACUUCUUUUGCAGCGGAAUAAAGUAUUCCACGAGAUGGGAUAUUGCAAGUACGCUGCGAAUAAGGAUCGGCUAACUCCGUG
rnacentral:rRNA from 1 species